rnacentral:tRNA from 1 species
GGCCACGUGGCCGAGCGGCAAAGGCGGCCGCCUGCAAAGCGGUUCUUCGUCGGUUCAAGCCCGACCGUGGCCU